GUUUUGACUUUGGAGCACAUUGGUGAAGGUAAAGUUUGGUGGGGAACAUGACCAACUAUAGUUGAGACUCUGAAAGAAAAAAGAAAAUUGUAAUAUAUAAAUAUUGAGAACACCAACACAAAUUUCAAACCUAUAAACUGGUUUACCUGAUUAGAUAAAGGCAAACUAGUCUGGACAUUGGUGGUUGACAAUCUCGUGGUUGGAUAGAACUACAAACAUUGAUACGAGACCCAACAUAAAUAAUUAAAUAAAUAUAUAAAAUAUACUUAAUCAAACAUAUAACUAGUUUACCUGAUUAGAUGAAGGGAAACGAGCAUGUGCAUUGGUGGUUAGCAAACUCAGUGUUGGAUAGAGCUACAAACAUUGAU
rnacentral:lncRNA from 1 species